UACAGAGGUCCCAAGCGUUGUUCGGAUUCACUGGGCGUAAAGGGUGCGCAGGUGGCGCUUCAAGUUUGAUGUGAAAGCUUCGGGCUUAACCCGGAAAUGGCAUUGAAUACUGGAGUGCUGGAGGUUUGGAGGGGGGACUGGAAUUCUCGGUGUAGCAGUGAAAUGCGUAGAUAUCGAGAGGAACACCAGUGGCGAAGGCGAGUCCCUGGACAACACCUGACACUGAGGCACGAAAGCCGGGGGAGCAAACAGG
rnacentral:rRNA from 1 species